rnacentral:tRNA from 1 species
ACCUGGCUGGCUCAGCUGGUAGCGUAUGGGGCUCUUAAUCUCAGGGUCAUGAGUUCAAGCCCCAUGUUGGGUG